GUCUACAGCCAUGCCACCUUGAACAAGCCCGAUGUCUGAUCUCAGAAGCUAAGCAGGGUUGGGCCUGGUUAGUACUUGGAUGGGAGACCACGUAGGAAGACCAGGUGCUGUAUGCA
rnacentral:rRNA from 1 species